rnacentral:rRNA from 1 species
CCUACGGGAGGCAGCAGUGAGGAAUUUUCCGCAAUGGGCGAAAGCCUGACGGAGCAAUACCGCGUGAGGGAUGAAGGAUUUUGGUCUGUAAACCUCUUUUCUCAAGAAAGAAGUUCUGACGGUACUUGAGGAAUAAGCAUCGGUUAACUCCGUGCCAGCAGCCGCGGUAAUACGGGGGAUGCAAGCGUUAUCCGGAAUGAUUGGGCGUAAAGCGCCUGUAGGUUGUUUAUUAAGUCCGUUGUUAAAGCCUAGGGCUCAACCCUAGAAAAGCAAUGGAAACUAGUAGACUAGAGUAUGGCAGGGGUAGAGGGAAUUUCUAGUGUAGCGGUGAAAUGCGUAGAUAUUAGAAAGAACACCGGUGGCGAAAGCGCUCUACUGGACCAUUACUGACACUCAGAGGCGAAAGCUAGGGUAGCAAAAGGGAUUAGAUACCCCUGUAGUCCUAGCCGUAAACGAUGGAUACUAGAUGUUGUGCAUAUAGUACUAGUAUACGUAGUACGUACGUACGUUAACGUACUACCGUCCGUCGGGUAGGUACGUCGUCGCGACGGUAGGAACGUACAAUAGAAGUUAGUACGGCGUGAGACGUCGCCGACGGACGACCGACCGAGGGAGGUAGG